rnacentral:rRNA from 1 species
GACGUAGGGGGCCAGCGUUGUUCGGAAUUACUGGGUGUAAAGGGUUCGUAGGCGGUGCGGCAAGUUGGGAGUGAAAUCUCUGGGCUUAACCCAGAGGCUGCUUCCAAAACUGCUGUGCUUGAGUGUGGGAGAGGCGCGUGGAAUUGCAGGUGUAGCGGUGAAAUGCGUAGAUAUCUGCAGGAACACCCGUGGCGAAAGCGGCGAGCUGGACCACUACUGACGCUGAAGAACGAAAGCUAGGGGAGCAAACAGG